UAGUAUCAAAGCUUUAAAACUGUCUAACUUCUAAUAGAACUCACUAAAAAUUGCAUAAUUUUACGUAAUAACAAGUUUUUCCAGUUUCUAAAACUUCCUGGGCAUUUAUGUUUCUCUGGUCUCCCAGACAUUUAGUCACCCUGAAGGCCUAAAAGCAUCUCUUGCGUCUCGAAGUGCCCACCUGUCAAUGGGAGUAGGAAAUGUUCGUCUUACUCUUUCUUCUACGUCUUGAGGCGUAUGAGGAGGUGGAUUUCCACAGAGCAUGCCCAACAUUCUCAAGAUCAGACUCUCAACAUAAUCUAAGGCGUCUUGUCGAGCUUCUAGACUAGGAUGAA